rnacentral:rRNA from 1 species
AGCGAACGCUGGCGGCAGGCCUAACACAUGCAAGUCGAGCGCCGUAGCAAUACGGAGCGGCAGACGGGAGAGUAACACGUGGGAACGUACCCUUUGGUUCGGAACAACCCAGGGAAACUUGGGCUAAUACCGGAUAAGCCCUUACGGGGAAAGAUUUAUCGCCGAAGGAUCGGCCCGCGUCUGAUUAGCUAGUUGGUGGGGUAACGGCCCACCAAGGCGACGAUCAGUAGCUGGUCUGGGAGGAUGAUCAGCCUCACUGGGACUGAGACACGGCCCAGACUCCUACGGGAGGCAGCAGUGGGGAAUAUUGGACAAUGGGCGCAAGCCUGAUCCAGCCAUGCCGCGUGGGUGAUGAAGGCCCUAGGGUUGUAAAGCCCUUUCGGCGGGGACGAUAAUAACGGUCCCCGCAGAAGAAGCCCCGGCUAACUUCGUGCCAGCAGCCGCCGUAAGAC